AUCACUAAACUAAUCAAU
rnacentral:miRNA from 1 species